AGAGGCGCGGCAGGCGCGCGGAGCCAGCGGAGCCAGCUGAGCCCGAGCCCAGCCCGCGCCCGCGCCGCCAUGCCCCUGGCCUUCUGCGGCAGCGAGAACCACUCGGCCGCCUACCGGGUGGACCAGGGGGUCCUCAACAACGGCUGCUUUGUGGACGCGCUCAACGUGGUGCCGCACGUCUUCCUACUCUUCAUCACCUUCCCCAUCCUCUUCAUUGGAUGGGGAAGUCAGAGCUCCAAGGUGCACAUCCACCACAGCACAUGGCUUCAUUUCCCUGGGCACAACCUGCGGUGGAUCCUGACCUUCAUGCUGCUCUUCGUCCUGGUGUGUGAGAUUGCAGAGGGCAUCCUGUCUGAUGGGGUGACCGAAUCCCACCAUCUGCACCUGUACAUGCCAGCCGGGAUGGCGUUCAUGGCUGCUGUCACCUCCGUGGUCUACUAUCACAACAUCGAGACUUCCAACUUCCCCAAGCUGCUAAUUGCCCUGCUGGUGUAUUGGACCCUGGCCUUCAUCACCAAGACCAUCAAGUUUGUCAAGUUCUUGGACCACGCCAUCGGCUUCUCGCAGCUACGCUUCUGCCUCACAGGGCUGCUGGUGAUCCUCUAUGGGAUGCUGCUCCUCGUGGAGGUCAAUGUCAUCAGGGUGAGGAGAUACAUCUUCUUCAAGACACCGAGGGAGGUGAAGCCUCCCGAGGACCUGCAAGACCUGGGGGUACGCUUCCUGCAGCCCUUCGUGAAUCUGCUGUCCAAAGGCACCUACUGGUGGAUGAACGCCUUCAUCAAGACUGCCCACAAGAAGCCCAUCGACUUGCGAGCCAUCGGGAAGCUGCCCAUCGCCAUGAGGGCCCUCACCAACUACCAACGGCUCUGCGAGGCCUUUGACGCCCAGCGGAAGGACAUUCAGGGCACUCAAGGUGCCCGGGCCAUCUGGCAGGCACUCAGCCAUGCCUUCGGGAGGCGCCUGGUCCUCAGCAGCACUUUCCGCAUCUUGGCCGACCUGCUGGGCUUCGCCGGGCCACUGUGCAUCUUUGGGAUCGUGGACCACCUUGGGAAGGAGAACGACGUCUUCCAGCCCAAGACACAAUUUCUCGGGGUUUACUUUGUCUCAUCCCAAGAGUUCCUUGCCAAUGCCUACGUCUUAGCUGUGCUUCUGUUCCUUGCCCUCCUACUGCAAAGGACAUUUCUGCAAGCAUCCUACUAUGUGGCCAUUGAAACUGGAAUUAACUUGAGAGGAGCAAUACAGACCAAGAUUUACAAUAAAAUUAUGCACCUGUCCACCUCCAACCUGUCCAUGGGAGAAAUGACUGCUGGACAGAUCUGUAAUCUGGUUGCCAUCGACACCAAUCAGCUCAUGUGGUUUUUCUUCUUGUGCCCAAACCUCUGGGCUAUGCCAGUACAGAUCAUUGUGGGUGUGAUUCUCCUCUACUACAUACUCGGAGUCAGUGCCUUAAUUGGAGCAGCUGUCAUCAUUCUACUGGCUCCUGUCCAGUACUUCGUGGCCACCAAGCUGUCUCAGGCCCAGCGGAGCACACUGGAGUAUUCCAAUGAGCGGCUGAAGCAGACCAACGAGAUGCUCCGCGGCAUCAAGCUGCUGAAGCUGUACGCCUGGGAGAACAUCUUCCGCACGCGGGUGGAGACGACCCGCAGGAAGGAGAUGACCAGCCUCAGGGCCUUUGCCAUCUAUACCUCCAUCUCCAUUUUCAUGAACACGGCCAUCCCCAUUGCAGCUGUCCUCAUAACUUUCGUGGGCCACGUCAGCUUCUUCAAAGAGGCCGACUUCUCGCCCUCCGUGGCCUUUGCCUCCCUCUCCCUCUUCCAUAUCUUGGUCACACCGCUGUUCCUGCUGUCCAGUGUGGUCCGAUCUACCGUCAAAGCUCUAGUGAGCGUGCAAAAGCUAAGCGAGUUCCUGUCCAGUGCAGAGAUCCGUGAGGAGCAGUGUGCCCCCCAUGAGCCCACACCUCAGGGCCCAGCCAGCAAGUACCAGGCGGUGCCCCUCAGGGUUGUGAACCGCAAGCGUCCAGCCCGGGAGGAUUGUCGGGGCCUCACCGGCCCACUGCAGAGCCUGGUCCCCAGUGCAGAUGGCGAUGCUGACAACUGCUGUGUCCAGAUCAUGGGAGGCUACUUCACGUGGACCCCAGAUGGAAUCCCCACACUGUCCAACAUCACCAUUCGUAUCCCCCGAGGCCAGCUGACUAUGAUCGUGGGGCAGGUGGGCUGCGGCAAGUCCUCGCUCCUUCUAGCCGCACUGGGGGAGAUGCAGAAGGUCUCAGGGGCUGUCUUCUGGAGCAGCAGCCUUCCUGACAGCGAGAUAGGAGAGGACCCCAGCCCAGAGCGGGAGACAGCGACCGACUUGGAUAUCAGGAAGAGAGGCCCCGUGGCCUAUGCUUCGCAGAAACCAUGGCUGCUAAAUGCCACUGUGGAGGAGAACAUCAUCUUUGAGAGUCCCUUCAACAAACAACGGUACAAGAUGGUCAUUGAAGCCUGCUCUCUGCAGCCAGACAUCGACAUCCUGCCCCAUGGAGACCAGACCCAGAUUGGGGAACGGGGCAUCAACCUGUCUGGUGGUCAACGCCAGCGAAUCAGUGUGGCCCGAGCCCUCUACCAGCACGCCAACGUUGUCUUCUUGGAUGACCCCUUCUCAGCUCUGGAUAUCCAUCUGAGUGACCACUUAAUGCAGGCCGGCAUCCUUGAGCUGCUCCGGGACGACAAGAGGACAGUGGUCUUAGUGACCCACAAGCUACAGUACCUGCCCCAUGCAGACUGGAUCAUUGCCAUGAAGGAUGGCACCAUCCAGAGGGAGGGUACCCUCAAGGACUUCCAGAGGUCUGAAUGCCAGCUCUUUGAGCACUGGAAGACCCUCAUGAACCGACAGGACCAAGAGCUGGAGAAGGAGACUGUCACAGAGAGAAAAGCCACAGAGCCACCCCAGGGCCUAUCUCGUGCCAUGUCCUCGAGGGAUGGCCUUCUGCAGGAUGAGGAAGAGGAGGAAGUAAGUGGGGAUAAAAUGCCCUGAUUCACCCUCAGAGGGAUGGAAAUGUGUAGCCACAGAGUGGGUUCUUGCGGCCUGCAGAGGAGGCAGCUGAGAGCGAGGAGGAUGACAACCUGUCGUCCAUGCUGCACCAGCGUGCUGAGAUCCCAUGGCGAGCCUGCGCCAAGUACCUGUCCUCCGCCGGCAUCCUGCUCCUGUCGUUGCUGGUCUUCUCACAGCUGCUCAAGCACAUGGUCCUGGUGGCCAUCGACUACUGGCUGGCCAAGUGGACCGACAGCGCCCUGACCCUGACCCCUGCAGCCAGGAACUGCUCCCUCAGCCAGGAGUGCACCCUCGACCAGACUGUCUAUGCCAUGGUGUUCACGGUGCUCUGCAGCCUGGGCAUUGUGCUGUGCCUCGUCACGUCUGUCACUGUGGAGUGGACAGGGCUGAAGGUGGCCAAGAGACUGCACCGCAGCCUGCUAAACCGGAUCAUCCUAGCCCCCAUGAGGUUUUUUGAGACCACGCCCCUUGGGAGCAUCCUGAACAGAUUUUCAUCUGACUGUAACACCAUCGACCAGCACAUCCCAUCCACGCUGGAGUGCCUGAGCCGCUCCACCCUGCUCUGUGUCUCAGCCCUGGCCGUCAUCUCCUAUGUCACACCUGUGUUCCUCGUGGCCCUCUUGCCCCUGGCCAUCGUGUGCUACUUCAUCCAGAAGUACUUCCGGGUGGCGUCCAGGGACCUGCAGCAGCUGGAUGACACCACCCAGCUUCCACUUCUCUCACACUUUGCCGAAACCGUAGAAGGACUCACCACCAUCCGGGCCUUCAGGUAUGAGGCCCGGUUCCAGCAGAAGCUUCUCGAAUACACAGACUCCAACAACAUUGCUUCCCUCUUCCUCACAGCUGCCAACAGAUGGCUGGAAGUCCGAAUGGAGUACAUCGGUGCAUGUGUGGUGCUCAUCGCAGCGGUGACCUCCAUCUCCAACUCCCUGCACAGGGAGCUCUCUGCUGGCCUGGUGGGCCUGGGCCUUACCUACGCCCUAAUGGUCUCCAACUACCUCAACUGGAUGGUGAGGAACCUGGCAGACAUGGAGCUCCAGCUGGGGGCUGUGAAGCGCAUCCAUGGGCUCCUGAAAACCGAGGCAGAGAGCUACGAGGGGCUCCUGGGUGAGAGGCUCAGGGAGAGGGGUGGGGAAGAGUCCAAGGAGGAGUGUGUCUGGGUUGGGGGCCACAAGGGAGCCUGGGGAUGGGGUGGCACUUUCGGAUACUAGCUGUGGCCCAUGCCUGGUGGCUGAGCCCAGCCCGGCCCCCAGCACCAUCGCUGAUCCCAAAGAACUGGCCAGACCAAGGGAAGAUCCAGAUCCAGAACCUGAGCGUGCGCUACGACAGCUCCCUGAAGCCGGUGCUGAAGCACGUCAAUGCCCUCAUCGCCCCUGGACAGAAGAUCGGGAUCUGCGGCCGCACCGGCAGUGGGAAGUCCUCCUUCUCUCUUGCCUUCUUCCGCAUGGUGGACACGUUCGAAGGGCACAUCAUCAUUGAUGGCAUUGACAUCGCCAAACUGCCGCUGCACACCCUGCGCUCACGCCUCUCCAUCAUCCUGCAGGACCCCGUCCUCUUCAGCGGCACCAUCCGAUUUAACCUGGACCCUGAGAGGAAGUGCUCAGAUAGCACACUGUGGGAGGCCCUGGAAAUCGCCCAGCUGAAGCUGGUGGUGAAGGCACUGCCAGGAGGCCUCGAUGCCAUCAUCACAGAAGGCGGGGAGAAUUUCAGCCAGGGACAGAGGCAGCUGUUCUGCCUGGCCCGGGCCUUCGUGAGGAAGACCAGCAUCUUCAUCAUGGACGAGGCCACGGCUUCCAUUGACAUGGCCACGGAAAACAUCCUCCAAAAGGUGGUGAUGACAGCCUUCGCAGACCGCACUGUGGUCACCAUCGCGCAUCGAGUGCACACCAUCCUGAGUGCAGACCUGGUGAUCGUCCUGAAGCGGGGUGCCAUCCUUGAGUUCGAUAAGCCAGAGAAGCUGCUCAGCCGGAAGGACAGCGUCUUCGCCUCCUUCGUCCGUGCAGACAAGUGACCUGCCAGAGCCCAAGUGCCAUCCCACAUUCGGACCCUGCCCAUACCCCUGCCUGGGUUUUCUAACUGUAAAUCACUUGUAAAUAAAUAGAUUUGAUUAUUUCCUACUAGAGGCCCUAAGUCUGGUGGGCAGGGGCUGGCGGUGGAUGGUGGGUUCAGUAGAACCAGCCUGGCUCUGACAUCAGGCAGAAGCUGUGUGAGCAAAAGCCUGCUUCCUUACCUGUGAAAUGAGGCCUCUAUUAGUCAGCCAGGCUGCCACAACAACAUAUCACAGACUGGGUGGCUUUAAAACAGACUUUUUUCUCACAGUUCUGGAGGCUGAAGUCUGGGAUCAAGGUGUUGGCAGGUUUGGUUUCUCCUGAGGCCUCUCUCCUUGGCUUGCAGAGGGCUGCCUUCUGGCUGUGUGCUCACAUGACCUUUACUCUGUGCACAUGCAUCCCUGCUUUCUCUCUGUGUCUUAAAAGGACACCAGUCAUAUUGGAUUAGGGCCCCAC